UGAGAAUCCCACAGGCCGUAAACCCAAGGUUUCCAGGGGAAGGUUCGUCCGCCCUGGGUUAGUCGGGACCUAAGCUGAGGCCGAAAGGCGUAGGUGAUGGACAACAGGUUGAUAUUCCUGUACUACCGAUAACCGUUUGAGAGAUGGGAUGACACAGUAGGAUAAGCUAAGCACACUGUUGGUUAUGUGUGACCAAGCAUUGAGGCAGUCAGAGUAGGUAAAUCCGCUUUGAUAAUGCUGGGAUGUGAUGGGGAGCGAAAUUUAGUAGCGAAGUAGCUGAUUUCACACUGUCAAGAAAAGUCUCUAUCGAGGUUAAAGG
rnacentral:rRNA from 1 species